AUCCAGCUGACGAGUCCCAAAUAUAACGAAAUGCGCUUUAUCCUGGAU
rnacentral:hammerhead_ribozyme from 1 species